rnacentral:rRNA from 1 species
UACGUAGGGGGCAAGCGUUGUCCGGAUUUAUUGGGCGUAAAGAGCGUGUAGGCGGCCUGACAGGUCAGCUGUGAAAACUCGAGGCUCAACCUCGAGACGUCGGUUGAAACCAUCUGGCUAGAGUCCGGAAGAGGAGUGUGGAAUUCCCGGUGUAGCGGUGAAAUGCGCAGAUAUCAGGAGGAACACCAAUGGCGAAGGCAGCUCGCUGGGACGGUACUGACGCUGAGACGCGAAAGCUAGGGGAGCAAACGGG